GAUGAACGCUGGCGGCGUGCCUAAUACAUGCAAGUCGAGCGAACAGACGAGGAGCUUGCUCCUUUGACGUUAGCGGCGGACGGGUGAGUAACACGUGGAUAACCUACCUAUAAGACUGGGAUAACUUCGGGAAACCGGAGCAAAUACCGGAUAAUAUAUUGAACCGCAUGGUUCAAUAGUGAAAGACGGCUUUGGCGGCGGUUGUAGAUGGAUCGGCGCCGUAUCAGCUUGUUGUGGGGGUAGUGGCUUACCAAGGCGACGAUGGGUAGCCGACCUGGGAGGGUGACCGGCCACACUGGGACUGAGAGACGGCCCAGACUGCGACGGGAGGCAGCAGUGGGGAAGAUUGCACAAUGGGCGGAAGCCGGAUGCAGCAACGCCGCGUGCGGGAAGACGGUCUUCGGGUGGUAAACCAAUUUCGCCGGUGACGAAGCGUGAGUGACGGUAAUGGGUAAAGAAGCCCCGGCUAACUACGUG
rnacentral:rRNA from 1 species